GAUGAACGCUGGCGGCGUGCCUAACACAUGCAAGUCGAGCGAUGAAGUUUCCUUCGGGAGACGGAUUAGCGGCGGACGGGUGAGUAACACGUGGGCAACCUGCCUUGUAGAGGGGAAUAGCCUUCCGAAAGGAAGAUUAAUACCGCAUAAUAUUACCGAGUGGCAUCACAUGGUAAUCAAAGGAGCAAUCCGCUACAAGAUGGGCCCGCGUCGCAUUAGUUAGUUGGUGGGGUAAUGGCCUACCAAGACGACGAUGCGUAGCCGACCUGAGAGGGUGAUCGGCCACAUUGGGACUGAGACACGGCCCAGACUCCUACGGGAGGCAGCAGUGGGGAAUAUUGCACAAUGGAGGAAACUCUGAUGCAGCAACGCCGCGUGAGCGAUGAA
rnacentral:rRNA from 1 species